rnacentral:rRNA from 1 species
UCUACGGGUGGCUGCAGUGAGGAAUAUUGGUCAAUGGGCGUAAGCCUGAACCAGCCAAGUCGCGUGAGGGACGACGGCCCUACGGGUUGUAACCCUCUUUUGCCGGGGGACACACGGCGGCACGCGUGCCGUCCUGAGGGUACCCGGAGAAAAAGCAUCGGCUAACUCCGUGCCAGCAGCCGCGGUUCUAAGGAGGAUGCGAGCGUUAUCCGGAUUUAUGGGGUUUAAAGGGUGCGUAGGCGGGAUGCCAAGUCAGCGGUCAAAUACGGGGGCUGAAACUGCGUCCGCCAUUGAAACUGGCGUUCUUGAGUGGGCGAGAAGUACGCGGAAUGCGUGGUGCAGCGGUGAAAUGCAUAGAUAUCACGCAGAACCCCGAUUGCGAAGGAAGCGUACCGGCGCCCGACUGACGCUGAAGCACGAAAGCGUGUGUAUCGAACAGGAUUAGAUACCCCAGUAGUC